UGUAAAGCAGGACAGAGCUACUGAUUUCACUUCUUGAAAACUUGUCAGCGAGAGAAACAGAAAAAUGACAAACAAAAAAGACAAGACACAGCAGGAUAAUGAAUCUAAACAUAAACAGAUAAAAGGUCAAUGGAACAGCAUCAAUAGUGGAAAACCAAACUUUUCUAAUGGUUCAGAAGGACGUGACCUGAAGAAAGUAAUUCAGAUGUUUCAAACACAGAUGGAACAGGAUCAGACUGCUGCUGCUGUUUCUGGAUGAGAUCAGACAUGAACUUCUUUAUACCAUGGAGAAAAAAUCUCUUUCAGUCCUCAUUGAAACUGUACUCGAAACUGUGAAUUUCCCAAAGCCUCAUUUUACAUUACUGCUGAAUUUUAGUUGGUUUCUGUACAUCUUGUCUUGUAAACUGAAAUUACAGAUUAUUAUGCUUGUUUUUUAGGGGGAAAAAAAACUAUACUUUUAUUAUGUUUUUUUUUUUUUAGAUAUAUUUAGAAAUUUUGGAGGAAAAAGCUUUUUUAUCUAAGCA